rnacentral:rRNA from 1 species
GAUGAACGCUGGCGGCGUGCCUAAUACAUGCAAGUGGAACGCUGAAGCUUGGUGCUUGCACCGAGCGGAUGAGUUGCAAACGGGUGAGUAACGCGUAGGUAACCUGCCUCUUAGCGGGGGAUAACUAUUGGAAACGAUAGCUAAUACCGCAUAAAAGUUGACAUUGCAUGAUGUUGAUUUGAAAGAUGCAAUUGCAUCACUAAGAGAUGGACCUGCGUUGUAUUAGCUAGUUGGUGAAGUAACGGCUCACCAAGGCGACGAUACAUAGCCGACCUGAGAGGGUGAUCGGCCACACUGGGACUGAGACACGGCACAGACUCCUACGGGAGGCAGCAGUAGGGAAUCUUCGGCAAUGGACGGAAGUCUGACCGAGCAACGCCGCGUGAGUGAAGAAGGUUUUCGGAUCGUAAAGCUCUGUUGUAAGAGAAGAACGAGUGUGAGAGUGGAAAGUUCACACUGUGACGGUAACUUACCAGAAAGGGACGGCUAACUACGUG